UACGGGGGGGGCAAGCGUUGUUCGGAAUUACUGGGCGUAAAGGGCGCGUAGGCGGCAAUUCAAGUCAUCUGUGAAAUCUCCGGGCUUAACUCGGAACGGUCAGAUGAUACUGCUUUGCUCGAGUGCGGAAGGGGCAAUCGGAAUUCUUGGUGUAGCGGUGAAAUGCGUAGAUAUCAAGAGGAACACCUGAGGUGAAGACGGGUUGCUGGGCCGACACUGAAGCUGACAGCGCGAAAGCCAGGGGAGCAAACGGG
rnacentral:rRNA from 1 species